AGUGAACGCUGGCGGUAGGCCUAACACAUGCAAGUCGAACGGCAGCACAGUAAGAGCUUGCUCUUACGGGUGGCGAGUGGCGGACGGGUGAGGAAUACAUCGGAAUCUACUUUUUCGUGGGGGAUAACGUAGGGAAACUUACGCUAAUACCGCAUACGACCUACGGGUGAAAGCAGGGGAUCUUCGGACCUUGCGCGAUUGAAUGAGCCGAUGUCGGAUUAGCUAGUUGGCGGGGUAAAGGCCCACCAAGGCGACGAUCCGUAGCUGGUCUGAGAGGAUGAUAAGAAACACGGGAACUGAGAAACGGUCAAGACUACUAAGGGAGGCAGCAGUGGGGAUUAGUGGAGAAGGGGCGAAAGCUUGAUCCAGAAAUGGUGAGGGAGGGAAGAAGGUCUUCGGAUUGUAAAGAACUUUAAGUUGGGAGGAAGAGCAGUAAGUGGAUACAUGGCUGUUUUGACGUGACAAAAAGAAUAAGAACCGGCUAACUUCGUG
rnacentral:rRNA from 1 species